rnacentral:rRNA from 1 species
CCCUUCGGGAGCGAGUAAGUGGCGGACGGGUGAGUAACACGUGGGUAAUCUGCCCUUGAGUGGGGAAUAACUUUGGGAAACCGAAGCUAAUACCGCAUACGAUCCUUCGGGAUGAAAGCUUUAUGCGCUCAAGGAUGAGCCCGCGGUCGAUUAGCUAGUUGGUGAGGUAAUGGCUCACCAAGGCUACGAUCGAUAGCCGGCCUGAGAGGGCACACGGCCACACUGGCACUGAGACACGGGCCAGACUCCUACGGGAGGCAGCAGUGGGGAAUCUUGGUCAAUGGGGGAAACCCUGAACCAGCGACGCCGCGUGACCGAUGAAGGCCCUCGGGUCGUAAAGGUCUUUCGACGGGGACUAUAAUGAAGGUACCCGUAAAAGCAGGAGCGGCUAA